rnacentral:rRNA from 1 species
UACGGGGGGAGCAAGCGUUGUUCGGAUUUACUGGGCGUAAAGGGCGCGUAGGCGGUUCGUACAGUCAGACGUGAAAUUCCCGGGCUCAACCUGGGGACUGCGUUUGAUACGUGCGGGCUUGAGUUCGGAAGAGGGUCGUGGAAUUCCCAGUGUAGAGGUGAAAUUCGUAGAUAUUGGGAAGAACACCGGUGGCGAAGGCGGCGACCUGGUCCGAUACUGACGCUGAGGCGCGAAAGCGUGGGGAGCAAACAGG